GGCUGCCCCUCAGGCAGUUUCUGGAGCCUCGGGGCUGCCCCUCAGGCAGUUUCUGGAGCCUCGGGGCUGCGGCUCCCGGAGCUGCCGGAGCCAGCCCAGGGCCUGCUCGCAGCCGGGGCUGGGCAGGACACGGCAGCCACGGCCCCAUCCCAGCAGGGAAGGAAGGAAGGACCUGUCUGGGAACGGGAAAUGUGUCACAGCCCUGCUCCGGUCCUGUGUCCCAUCCGAACCGCCAGUGUGCUCCAGAGGGUGGAGACCAGAGCUCAGGCAGACUCCUCCAUGGGGCAAAAGGGAGACUUUCUGCUGCUUACAAUGAGCUGAACCUGAGAAGUCUCAGAAUCAGCAGCCUGCUUGGACCACAGCACAGUGAGAUGCACCUAUCUGGAUACAGAGGAAGAUGUUCCUUCAUGGAGCUGCUUUAGGAGAGAGGCUCAUCCCUUGCCUGCUGUCAAGCAGUGCCCUGGGUCUGGAGAGAGGAUCACACACAGUGACUCCAGAUGUCAGCAUCAACAAGAUUUCCAAGUGACUUCACAGGCUCAAGCAAGGCUCUGCAGAGCGUUGGCCUGUCUGUUGCAUGCAGAAGGAGGUGAUUUUAAGUGGGACAUUCAAGAACAACAGCUUAUGAAAACCAGCAGCUGCUGAAAGUCUCAACUUCUUGGCUAUAGUUCUGCAUCUGCUGCUUAGAGUUACAGGGUUUUUAUAUGACUUCAACUUGACACUGACUCAGAAGUGCUAAAGGUGCCUGGAGUCACUUCAGACUUUACUCCAUUUCCCCUUUCAGGGACUACAGGGGUAGUGAGAGAGGGAGCAGCCUGGAAGAACGUCCAAAGUCCACUGGUCUGAGGCAUCUUUUUCCCUGAGCAGAUGUUCACAUCUGUGCAGAGCCAUGGUGAGAGGAGCAGGUCAGCACCAAAUGUGAGCGUUGCCAGUUGCUUCCUUUGCUGCUGCUGUUGUGGAGUGACAGCUCUGGGGAGGCAGAAGAACCUGUGUGGGAUGGGAAAGGGAAGUUUCCUUGGGCAGGACAUUUUCAGGUUGGUUUCAUAUUGAGCUCCAGGGCUAAGGGCCUAACAUGCCUUGGAAGAGCACUUUCAAAGCUUUGAAUGUUCUCUGUGUUUGAUAAAUGUUUGAGGAGAAAUCAGCUGUCUUCUUGCCAGGAGCAGUCCAGAGAGGAUGGUGGGAUCAGGAUCACUUCUAGAAGGAACCAGGCUGAUAGAGAAGUCCUUUUCUAAGGAGAAAAGUGGGAGAUUCCUCCUUUCCAAUGAGCAGAAGACAAGCCAAUGCCACCAGUGCAGCCUGGGGAGGUCUGG